AGAAGGGGGACCUCAUGCGGCAGCGUGCUGUGAAUGAUACUGCAUCCUUCAUUCCUAACAAGUAGUACUUAAAGAAGUGAGGAGUGCCGUGGAAGGUCUGAAACAGACCACAGAUCAGCCCAUAAAACCUGCAGAUCCUGUGGAGCAGCAGGAGACAGCACCAUCUCUUUACCCCUACCCCCAUGAGUCCUGGCCAUCCAGUGGACCCAUCUGAUCUCCACCAUGUAAGGAGAAGCAGAGGAAAAUGAAUAUAGGACACUCAAAGUUUCACAAAGCUGUGAAAUAAACCAUCUGAGAAAUGAAAGCAGCAUGAAGACUGUCUCGACACCAUCUUCCUUACCAGUGCUAGAAAAUCAGAGUGCACUGUAGCAGUACUGAACACUCAAAAUAUAUAUAAUACUGUGCACUUAUAUAAUGCCUUUCAUGUGAAGCUCUCAAAGCAUUCUAGAAAUGACUUUCAUCAUACACCUGAAUGGUGAAAUUCCCAUUUGAGCUGGUUGUGUGACAAACCAGGGACCUAUAGCACUAAAAACAUAAGCUGCUACACCUUGAAUUAAAAGAGCCAAGGCUCCUUAGUGGGGGCUGUAACAACUCAUCCCCUCUAUUGAUGGGUAUAGAGAGGGACCUGUAUCACCCAGAAACAAGUGGCUUACAGUUGCAUAAUACAUAAAGUGGUUGCUCAACUAUUAUUUUCUUGUUGAGCACCAUGGAGUGAUAUUGAAGGAGCCACGUCACACAGGCAAUGCCUUCAUAAUGUUCCAAGGGGUACUCCAGACAAGACCACGAGGCUAAAGAGUUCUUCUGGCUGUCAUCUCCAAAACAACUGAGCUUGGACAAGGCCACCAGGUGAUGAAGGAAGAGGUACAUAGAGCAUCUACACAACCCUCAUAAUCCUCUUAAUGCAACAUUACUGCCCCAGUUUAGACCAAAAAGUGUUGUCACAGUUGGGGACAGAGGCAAGACCUAGAAUCAGGAUUCACUUAGGGCUGCUCAGGAGGGCAGGAAGUGCUUUCCAUGAACAGUCCUGUGGCUCCUGCCUUUUGAGAAUGUAUAGAACCCUUUCAAGCUCAUGCAUUUCCCCACCCCGUCCCAGCCCAAAAUAUGCGCACACUCCUUGCUCACUGGGUGGAUUAUUCUUAGAUUUAGUAAACCAACAUUUUAUGCAACAUAUGGGGCUACUGCACCCCUUUUUACAUCAUUGAUUAGGAUUUUACCUUAAGUAACCUGCUCAAGGUUACAAAGGAAAUUGAUAGCAGAAGCCAAAAUAAAAUCUUCAUUCCUAGUCUUGUGUUCUUCUCUUUAGAAAACACUCCCUCUAUAACACUUGCAACCUUUUAAUUCCAAACUGAAGUACUUAUUAAUCACAUGUCAUGUAAUAAUCCAUUGCCCUGUACACACACACACACACACGGGCUAUCAGUGGGGACAGAACCUGGAAUUGAAAACACAGCUCACCUCCACUGAGCUAAAAAUAGAACUCUUUUAGCUGAGAAAGAGCAGAAGGGUUGAGUCACUAGGUGACCACCUUUAGUAGUCAUUUCAUACACUAGAACUUGUGUAAUAUGUGUAACUGUAAUGCUGUGAAGAGGAUUCUGAAGGUAUGUUGGCCUUCAGAAACUU